CUGGAGGUAUCAGAAGUGCGAAUGCUGACAUAAGUAACGAUAAAGCGGGUGAAAAGCCCGCUCGCCGGAAGACCAAGGGUUCCUGUCCAACGUUAAUCGGGGCAGGGUGAGUCGACCCCUAAGGCGAGGCCGAAAGGCGUAGUCGAUGGGAAACGGGUUAAUAUUCCCGUACUUGGUGUUACUGCGAAGGGGGGACGGAGAAGGCUAUGUUGGCCGGGCGACGGUUGUCCCGGUUUAAGCGUGUAGGUGUGUGUUCCAGGUAAAUCCGGUUCACUUUAACACUGAGGCGUGACGACGAGGCACUACGGUGCUGAAGCAACAAAUGCCCUGCUUCCAGGAAAAGCCUCUAAGCAUCAGGUAACAUCAAAUCGUACCCCAAACCGACACAGGUGGUCAGGUAGAGAAUACCAAGGCGCUUGAGAGAACUCGGGUGAAGGAACUAGGCAAAAUGGUGCCGUAACUUCGGGAGAAGGCACGCUGACACGUAGGUGAAGUGAUUUACUCAUGGAGCUGAAGUCAGUCGAAGAUACCAGCUGGCUGCAACUGUUUAUUAAAAACACAGCACUGUGCAAACACGAAAGUGGACGUAUACGGUGUGACGCCUGCCCGGUGCCGGAAGGUUAAUUGAUGGGGUCAGCGCAAGCGAAGCUCCUGAUCGAAGCCCCGGUAAACGGCGGCCGUAACUAUAACGGUCCUAAGGUAGCGAAAUUCCUUGUCGGGUAAGUUCCGACCUGCACGAAUGGCGUAAUGAUGGCCAGGCUGUCUCCACCCGAGACUCAGUGAAAUUGAACUCGCUGUGAAGAUGCAGUGUACCCGCGGCAAGACGGAAAGACCCCGUGAACCUUUACUAUAGCUUGACACUGAACAUUGAGCCUUGAUGUGUAGGAUAGGUGGGAGGCUUUGAAGCGUGGACGCCAGUCUGCGUGGAGCCGACCUUGAAAUACCACCCUUUAAUGUUUGAUGUUCUAACGUGGACCCGUAAUCCGGGUUGCGGACAGUGUCUGGUGGGUAGUUUGACUGGGGCGGUCUCCUCCUAAAGAGUAACGGAGGAGCACGAAGGUUGGCUAAUCCUGGUCGGACAUCAGGAGGUUAGUGCAAUGGCAUAAGCCAGCUUGACUGCGAGCGUGACGGCGCGAGCAGGUGCGAAAGCAGGUCAUAGUGAUCCGGUGGUUCUGAAUGGAAGGGCCAUCGCUCAACGGAUAAAAGGUACUCCGGGGAUAACAGGCUGAUACCGCCCAAGAGUUCAUAUCGACGGCGGUGUUUGGCACCUCGAUGUCGGCUCAUCACAUCCUGGGGCUGAAGUAGGUCCCAAGGGUAUGGCUGUUCGCCAUUUAAAGUGGUACGCGAGCUGGGUUUAGAACGUCGUGAGACAGUUCGGUCCCUAUCUGCCGUGGGCGCUGGAGAACUGAGGGGGGCUGCUCCUAGUACGAGAGGACCGGAGUGGACGCAUCACUGGUGUUCGGGUUGUCAUGCCAAUGGCACUGCCCGGUAGCUAAAUGCGGAAGAGA
rnacentral:rRNA from 1 species